GUGCUUGCAGCAGCACAUACAUUAAACUUGGAAUGAUACAGAGAUUUCCAACGUCUCGGUACAAAGAUGUUACACAAAUUAAUGAAGUAUUCCAAAUUUUU
ensembl:snRNA U6 U6 spliceosomal RNA